rnacentral:rRNA from 1 species
AAGGAAUAUUGCUCAAUGGGAGAAAUCCUGAAGCAGCAACGCCGCGUGGAGGAUGAAGGGUCUAUGACUUGUAAACUCCUGUAAAGAAGGAAAAAAUUCCCAUUUGAUGGGAGAUGAUGGUACUUCUGGAGUAAGCCCCGGCUAACUACGUGCCAGCAGCCGCGGUAAUACGUAGGGGGCAAGCGUUGUCCGGAUUUACUGGGUGUAAAGGGUGCUCAGGCGGAUUUGUGAGUCAGAGGUGAAAUCUUACAGCUUAACUGUGAAACUGCCUUUGAUACUGCAAGCCUAGAGUAUGGAAGAGAGUGAUGGAAUAUCUGGUGUAGCAGUGAAAUGCGUAGAUAUCAGAUAGAACACCAAUGGCGAAGGCAGUCACUUGGUCCAUUACUGACGCUAAAGCACGAAAGCGUGGGUAGCAAACA